rnacentral:rRNA from 1 species
GUGGGGAAUAUUGGGCAAUGGGCGAAAGCCUGACCCAGCAACGCCGCGUGAAGGAAGAAGGUCUUCGGAUUGUAAACUUCUUUUAUGAGGGACGAAGAAAUUGACGGUACCUCAUGAAUAAGCCACGGCUAACUACGUGCCAGCAGCCGCGGUAAUACGUAGGUGGCAAGCGUUAUCCGGAUUUACUGGGUGUAAAGGGCGCGUAGGCGGGAGAGCAAGUCAGGUGUGAAAUCCAUGGGCCUAACCCAUGAACUGCACUUGAAACUGUUUUUCUUGAGUGCUGGAGAGGUAGACGGAAUUCCUUGUGUAGCGGUGAAAUGCGUAGAUAUAAGGAAGAACACCAGUGGCGAAGGCGGUCUACUGGACAGUAACUGACGCUGAGGCGCGAAAGCGUGGGGAGCAAACAGGAUUAGAAACCCGAGUAGUCC